rnacentral:rRNA from 1 species
AAUUAUUGGGCGUAAAGCGUUUGUAGGCGGGCGAGUGUGUUUAAUGUUAAAUCUUAAAGCUCAACUUUGAAAUUGCGUUAAAAACUGCUUGUCUUGAGUAUGGUAGGGGUAAAGGGAAUUCCCAGUGUAGCGGUGAAAUGCGUAGAUAUUGGGAAGAACACUAAACAGCGAAGGCACUUUACUAGGCUAAUACUGACGCUGAGAAACGAAAGGUAAGGUAGCGAAACGGAUUAGAUACCCGUGUAGUCUUACCCGUAAACUAUGGACACUAAACGGUAAAUUUUUAAUUUACUGUUAAAGCUAACGCGUUAAGUGUCCCGCCUGGGGAGUAUGCUUGCAAAAGUGAAACUCAAAGGAAUUGACGGGGGCCCGCACAAGCGGUGGAGCAUGUGGUUUAAUUCGACGGUACGCGAAGAACCUUACCAGGAUUUGACAUGCUAGAUAGUUGCUUGAAAGAGUAACGUGCCGUAAGGAAUCUAGACACAGGUGGUGCAUGGCUGUCGUCAGUUCGUGUUGUGAAAUGUUGGGUUAAGUCCCGCAACGAACGCAACCCUUGUCUUUAGUUAUUUUCUAAAAAGACUGCCGGUUAUAAACCGGAGGAAGGCGGGGAUGACGUCAAGUCAGCAUGCCCCUUACACCCUGGGCUACACACGUGCUACAAUGGGUGAGACAAUGAGAUGCAAGUCUGCGAAGAUUAGCUAAUCUAGAAACUCAUUCUAAGUUCGGAUUGUAGGCUGCAACUCGCCUGCAUGAAGUUGGAAUCGCUAGUAAUCGCUGGUCAGCUAUACAGCGGUGAAUUCGUUCCCUGGGCCU